rnacentral:rRNA from 1 species
CCUACGGGAGGCUGCAGUGGGGAAUAUUGCACAAUGGGGGAAACCCUGAUGCAGCGACGCCGCGUGAGUGAAGAAGUAAUUCGUUACGUAAAGCUCUAUCAGCAGGGGAGAAAAUGACGGUACCUGAGUAAGAAGCCCCGGCGAACUACGUGCCAGCAGCCGCGGUAAUACGUAGGGGGCAAGCGUUAUCCGGAUUUACUGGGUGUAAAGGGAGCGUAGACGGUGGGCCAAGUCUGGAGUGAAAUGCCGCGGCUUAACUGCGGUACUGCGUUGGAAAUUGGCGAACUAGAGUGCGGGAGGGGUAAGCGGAAUUCCUAGUGUAGCGGUGAAAUGCGUAGAUAUUAGGAGGAACACCGGUGGCGAAGGCGGCUUACUGGACCGUAACUGACGUUGAGGCGCGAAAGCGUGGGGAGCAAACAGGAUUAGAUACCCUGGUAGUC